ACAGGCGUGUGGCAUUUGACGAGAGGUGAUGAUAUUUGCCAUAACGGUGAAGCCGAAGUUCUCGAAGGGCCGUUACCACAG
rnacentral:sRNA from 1 species